UUUUUUAUUAUGUUGGCGCUUUCGUUAACAUGCGAUGCAACACUUGAGGAGAGAAAUUUGUAUUAAUCACCAUUCAAUCUGACAUUCAACCUAAGUCAGCCCUGGGCAUCAUGGGCCGAUGACUGAUCGAAAGAAUCUUAUCACGCACGUGCCAAUAAUAAUGCAAUUAUGUAAAUUUUUGUUACAUACUCACACGGUCGUCUGUUCCUGUGAUACUCGCUUGAUAUCAAUAUAAGGGAGGUGUGGGAGUGCGCAAGCGCAGCCCAUGAGCCGUCGCGACGCUUCGCUAUUUUUAACGACCAAUCGCUUCUUGAAGCAGAGUACCAUACCUGAACAGCAUGAGUGUGAAGAUUGACAGAAGCGUCGGUCCGCGCUCGUGGUUGUCGCGUGGCGUGGGCGCUGUACAAAUACUGCCCGCGGGAUACCGCGCACAAAUCAACGCGUAUAGACGUGCUCGCCGGACCCCCGUAGCCCUGUGCUUGCGUAUCCAGGGCUGAAAUCAUACUGGAGCGGUUUGUGUUCCUGAGAUGAGCAAGCGCAGCCCUGCCAGCCCCCCGCCGCGGCGACAGCGCCAACAUCUCUCACCUCCGGAGCUCCGUAAUGAACAAUAUAAAUGUGCCAUUUGGAGCCGCCGACCUUCUCCGCUGUCCACGCCUAACAUCUCGGAAACUUGUACAUACAUACUGUGUUAAAUUCCAUUAAAUAAAAAUUUAAUAUGUAUACUAUUAGCAGUAUGUGAAAUUAAAAAGCUUUUAAAAAGAA